GAACGCUCGUAGCAAUACGAGAGUGGCAGACGGGUGAGUAACACGUGGGAACCUUCCCUAUGGUUCGGAAUAGCCCAGGGAAACUUGGGGUAAUACCGGAUAAGCCCUUACGGGGAAAGAUUUAUCGCCAUUGGAUGGGCCCGCGUCGGAUUAGCUAGUUGGUGAGGUAAUGGCUCACCAAGGCGACGAUCCGUAGCUGGUCUGAGAGGAUGAUCAGCCACACUGGGACUGAGACACGGCCCAGACUCCUACGGGAGGCAGCAGUGGGGAAUAUUGGACAAUGGGCGCAAGCCUGAUCCAGCCAUGCCGCGUGAGUGACGAAGGCCUUAGGGUUGUAAAGCUCUUUUGGCGGGGAAGAUAAUGACGGUACCCGCAGAAUAAGCUCCGGCUAACUUCGUG
rnacentral:rRNA from 1 species